rnacentral:misc_RNA from 1 species
GAUGAAGAACGCAGCGAAAUGCGAUACGUAAUGUGAAUUGCAGAAUUCAGUGAAUCAUCGAAUCUUUGAACGCAUAUUGCGCUCUCUGGUAUUCCGGAGAGCAUGCUUGUUUGAGUAUCAGUAAACACCUCAACUUCCAUAUCUUUUUUGAAAUGGGAGUUGGACUUGAGUGAUCCCAACGCUUUUCCUCACCGAAAAGUGGCGGGUUACUUGAAAUGCAGGUGCAGCUGGACUUUUCUCUGAGCUAUAAGCAUAUCUAUUUAGUCUGCCUAAAAACAGAUUAUUACCUUUGCUGCAGCUAACAUAAAGGAGAUUAGUUCUUGUGCUGACUGAUGCAGGAUUCACAAAGACAGGCUUCGGCCGACUUUGUAAACUCGAUCUCAAAUCAAGUAAGACUACCCGCUGAACUUAAACAUAUCAAUAAGCGGAGGA